rnacentral:lncRNA from 1 species
UUUACUGCGGCCACUGACAGAAAGCACUUGAGAACCCUGCUAAACCUCAGUUCUGAAGCUAUCCAGUCCAAGCAGCAACUUCUGACUCUUCUUGGCUUCACGGUCACAGCAAUUGCUGUGGGAGUGCUUCUUGGAGUUCUUCACCUCAUUUGCAAUCUGGACAACCAUGGCAGAAUUGCUCUGGCACAUUCCUAGGUGAGGUACUUUGUUUCUUGGAUUUCCAGGCUUUCUCUUUUACUGAAUUUAAGUCUGUUUUGG